UACGUAGGGUGCAAGCGUUAAUCGGAAUUACUGGGCGUAAAGCGUGCGCAGGCGGUUAUAUAAGACCGAUGUGAAAUCCCCGGGCUCAACCUGGGACCUGCAUUUGUGACUGUAUAGCUAGAGUACGGUAGAGGGGGAUGGAAUUCCGCGUGUAGCAGUGAAAUGCGUAGAUAUGCGGAGGAACACCGAUGGCGAAGGCAAUCCCCUGGACCUGUACUGACGCUCAUGCACGAAAGCGUGGGGAGCAAACAGG
rnacentral:rRNA from 1 species